GAGCAUAGCUUGUAAAUGACAUUGCACAAAGAUAUCGGCCUAUACUGUGAUAUUUCUUGGGGGUUCUACUGUCAGCAAGUGCACUAUUAUUUACUUCACCGCGUACUUAAAGAAUUGUUGGUGGCAAAGGACAGCACCUGAUAGAAAGGAUGCUAACCAAGCCUCUUCUGUUUAAGCAAGGCUAAGCCAGAAUAAGGGGUACAGUAGGCUGGUGACCCUGACGAUAGCACUAAGACUGCCUCGGGAAUCUCCUCAAUCGUUGAAGAGUGCCUCGGGAAUUGAAUAAAAGCACUGAUAUCCAUAUAAUCCUACAAUUAUGCUCUAUUCUCUUGAAGAGAAGACACUUGAACUUCGUCAUGUGCUAUUGAUCCUUUUGAACCUAAAUUCACAUUGGCUCUUUUUGGCAUACAACUUUUGUUUUUCUGUGAAAGUCCUCCUUCCUCUGGACAAAGAUUACAUUAGAGGUGCCUCGACCCGAAAGAGCAUGAUACAAUCAAUUAGGAUGUAGCUCUGCUACAAGAAAGGAUAGGACUUUUGCCAGGUCUAGAGUUCGACUUCUAAAAAGAGAAUUCUAUAACAAAAAGAAA
rnacentral:lncRNA from 1 species